rnacentral:lncRNA from 1 species
ACAGAAACUAAAGAAAUGUUUAAGAAGUGGAAGAGAGCAAUGACAAAAGGUGGAAUCGAAAGUCGAAGCCCGGUGCGGAAAGCUUCUUGGUAUAAACAGAAGCAGCCUGGGGGAUGAGUGCUAGCCCGGCUAGUCGGUCCGAGAAGCUCCAUCUCAUACUCCAGAGGAACCCCGUACUAAAUCUUAAUCAGUGAGAGUUCCUCCGGAGUCAGAGAGCUGGGGAUGGUGUCUG